UACGUAGGCAGCGAGCGUUGUUCGGAGUUACUGGGCGUAAAGCGUGCGCAGACGGUUGCGUAAGUCAGAUGUGAAAGCCCCGGGCUCAACCUGGGAAUUGCAUUUGGGACUGCAAGGCUUGAGUUUGGCAGAGGAGACUGGAAUUCCUGGUGUAGCAGUGAAAUGCGUAGAUAUCAGGAGGAAUACCGAUGGCGAAGGCAGGUCUCUGGGCUAGAACUGACGCUCAUGCACGAAAGCGUGGGGAGCAAACAGG
rnacentral:rRNA from 1 species